GCGCCGAGCGGGUUCACGCUGCCCAUCGGCGACUUGCGAUGCAGCGCGGGCGCCGGGUUCAUCGUCCCUCUCGUCGGCGCGUUUCCGACCAUCCCGGGGUUGCCGACUCGGCCGGCGUACUACGAGAUCAGCGUCGACACGAAGACGGAUCGGGUGGUCGGGUUAUCGUGAUGGAUUGAUUGGAUUUGAUUGGACGGAUGGGUUGGUGUUGAUGACGUGUCGGUGUUUGAUUGGAGGACGCGACGCGACGCGACGCGACGCGGCGCGGCGGUGGGUACGGAACCGCCGCGCUUCUUAAUACGACGGCGCGCCUACACGUACCAUUAUUUCUCCUCCCGGGGUCGCGAGCGAGGCUGGGACGAACGCGUCGUUCACGCGAUGCGAUCGAUCGUCGCGACUACUACCGACCGUGCCGUCGAACACUCGCGUCAUCACUACCUAGGACUACUUCACGCCGUCGCCGUCCGCGGUCGCCGCGGUCGCCGUCGCGGUCGCCGUCGCGGUCGCCGUCGCCUUCUUCGCUUCCUCUCUCUCGCGUUUCAUCUCGCGGAGCAGCGCGCGCCCUGUGGAGUUGAAAGGCGUCAGUUGAAGUUGAAAGGCGCCGAGGGUGGGUAUUGAAAGCGAGGGAUGGGCGGAGAGAUGCGCCGGGCAAAGUCCUUAAGGAUCGGCGUUCACCACGCGAACGCCGUCGUAUGGGAACCAUUGUAUAGAACGCACCUCUCUCGCGCUGCGCCGCAGCCUUGUGCCGCUUCGAGUCGCGAUGCGACGCGUAGUUCGCCGCGCUGCCGCACUGGACGCCGCACGUGACGCACUCGUACCUCUCCGCGGCGGCGUCGCUCUUCGCGCCGCGCGGUUCCGGUUCCGGUUCCGGUUCCGGGUCCGGCGAUUCGUCGUCGAUCCGUCGCGGUGCCUUCUCCG
rnacentral:lncRNA from 1 species